rnacentral:rRNA from 1 species
AUUGAACGCUGGCGGCAGGCCUAACACAUGCAAGUCGAACGAGUGGCGGACGGGUGAGUAAUGUAUGGGAAACUGCCUGAUGGAGGGGGAUAACUAUUGGAAACGGUAGCUAAUACCGCAAACCAUCAGAGUAGCCCAGAUGGGAUUAGCUUGUUGGUGGGGUAAUGGUGCACCAAAGCGACUAUCCCUAGCUGGUCUGCGAGGAUGACCAGCCACACUGGAACUGAGACACGGGCCAGACUCCUACGGGAGGCAGCAGUGGGGAAUAUUGCACAAUGGGCGCAAGCCUGAUGCAUCCAUGCCGCGUGUAUGAAGAAGGCCUUCGGGUUGUAAAGUACUUUCAGCGGGGAGGCGUUACCCGCAGAAGAAGCACCGGCUAACUCCGUGCCAGCAGCCGCGGUAAUAC